ACUGCAGUCGAGCGANGGACAAGAAGCUUGCUUCUCUGAUGUUAGCGGCGGACGGGUGAGUAACACGUGGAUAACCUACCUAUAAGACUGGGAUAACUUCNGGAAACCGGAACUAAUACCGGAUAAUAUUUUGAACCGCAUGGUUCAAAAGUGAAAGACGGUCUUGCUGUCACUUAUAGAUGGAUCCGCGCUGCAUUAGCUAGUUGGUAAGGUAACGGCUUACCNAGGCAACGAUGCAUAGCCAACCUGANAGGGUGAUCGGCCACACUGGAACUGACACANGUCCAGACUCCUACGGGAGGCGACAAUAGGGAAUCUUCCGCAAUGGGCAAAAGCCUGAGNGACCAACGCCACGAGAGUGAUGAGGGUCUUCGGAUCCUAUUACUCUGUUAUUANGGAACAACAUAUGUGUAAGUAACUGUGCCCAUCUUGACGGUACCUAAUCAGAUCGCCACGGCUA
rnacentral:rRNA from 1 species